rnacentral:rRNA from 1 species
GACAGAGGGUGCAAACGUUGUUCGGAAUUACUGGGCGUAAAGCGCGUGUAGGCGGCCCUGCAAGUCGGGUGUGAAAUCCCACGGCUCAACCGUGGAAGUGCAUUCGAAACUGCAGGGCUAGAGUCCUGGAGAGGAAGGUGGAAUGCUUGGUGUAGCGGUGAAAUGCGCAGAUAUCAGGAGGAACACCGGUGGCGAAGGCGGGUCUCUGGGCAGUAACUGACGCUGAGGAGCGAAAGCGUGGGGAGCGAACAGG